rnacentral:rRNA from 1 species
GAUGAACGCUAGCGGCAGGCUUAACACAUGCAAGUCGAGGGGCAGCGCGGGAUAGCAAUAUCCUGGCGGCGACCGGCGGAAGGGUGCGUAACGCGUGAGCGACAUGCCCGUUGCCCGGGGACAACCGGUGGAAACGCCGACUAAUCCCCGAUGGGAUAUUGUGCCGCAUGGCACGAUAUUGAAAGUUACGGCGGCGACGGAUUGGCUCGCGUCCGAUUAGCUGGUUGGCGGGGUAACGGCCCACCAAGGCUGCGAUCGGUAGGGGUUCUGAGAGGAAGGCCCCCCACAAUGGGACUGAGACACGGCCAAUACUCCUACGGGAGGCAGCAGUGAGGAAGAUUGGUCAAUGGGCGGAAGCCUGAACCAGCCAUGCCGCGUGCGGGAAGGAGGCCCUAUGGGCUGUGAACCGCUUUUGCCUGGGGGCAAUAAGGGCGUCGCGCACGUCCGAUGAGAGUACCAGGCGAAUAAGCAUCGGCUAACUCCGUG